rnacentral:lncRNA from 1 species
AUGAAAGUUUCAAAAUGGAAGUUAGGAAUUCUUUGUUUUAUAAGUGGAUGUGUAAUGUCUGGUCAGGUGGAUGCUUGUAUUCCUGAUAGAGUUCCAAUGGGACUCUUAAUCACAGAUUGCCCUUAUCCACAACUGAAAACUCUUGAGAUGCAGAGGACUCUUGCCCUAAAAAUCAUUCUUUCCUUUUCUUUUUUUCUACCCACAGAAGCCCCAAGACAGCAACCUGCUGAACCUGAACCAGCCCCAAGGCAACAAACUAGGAAAAGUAAAGACGCAGAAGAGCCAGGCGACCCACCUGAAGGAGAACCAGGCGAACCACCUGAAGGAGAACCAGGUCCACCACCUGAAGGAGAACCAGGUGCACCACCUGAAGGUAAGUAAUAUGUCUAUCUCUAAACACUCCUUUCUUUCCCCGUUCCUUGAGGACCCUAGACCUUGUCUCUCAUUUGAAACCAUUUGGCACAUCCACUCUUAAAGUUCAGUACCAAGAAAGAGAGGGUAAUAAUGAACUAAGAGGGUGGUCAGCUUAAAAGGCUUUGUUUUCUCUUGCCAUUGCAUAGCUCUCAUAUUUCCACCAGAGAUUUUUCCAGAUCAAAAAUUCAAAAUUAUUUUGCCAUCUUUUCCCAAAGCAUAGUUUGCUUUUUUCCAUUGCCUAAUAUCCUAGAUCAAACAUUUCAAGAUCACUUUGUAAUAUUUAAUGCAAUGUUCUCUUCAUG